GGGGACGAAUUAGGAUUCGACGGAAAGUUCUUUGAAUAAUCGGCAAGCAAGGUUGAUCUUCCUUUAAAAAGAUCAAAAUUUACACGGCGAAGAUGAAUCUUACGCCCCAAAUUACGCGUUUGCGUAAAUUGGUGUUCACCAACUUAUUUCCCGUCUUUAGUUGGAUGGGCAUAAACCAGUACGGGACGCCUUUGUUUGGUGUCUGAUUGAUCACAAACAAAGUAAGCUAAAAUCAAUCUUACUCAAAAUUGUUUGCCAGUUUGAAAGAUUUUGAGGAAAACCUUAAACUGGAUAAGCUUGUAGAUGUUAUUUGUUAAGUAUUUUUCGGACGAGGGUUCAAAUCCCUCCGUCUCCACUC
rnacentral:tmRNA from 2 species